rnacentral:lncRNA from 1 species
AGCCUAGGCCUGCUGGAAGUCAUGUGAACUAUAAAGUCCAGUUCUAGCAGCUCUUGCCAGUCCACUCAGUUUCUUCCAUUGCUGGUAGUCAGUGGCCUCUCAUGCUGCCCUAGAGUCAAGAGGGCUUCCCAAGACUACCCUCAAGGAUCACAGAGGCAAUCCUCCGAGUUCUUCUCCAACCAUGGCACAGCCCCUCACCCGCUGCUUGCCAAGGCCUUCACACAAGCAACACAUGGCCAGGUUCCCUUGGGCAGUGACAGUAUUAGGAAGGACAGCAAUAAGGAUAUGGCAACAACAGCAUUAAGAACUUGUCAUGUUUUCAAUAAAAGGGGAAAGAGAUCAUAGCAUUCAAA